GAUGAACGCUGGCGGCGUGCCUAAUACAUGCAAGUCGAGCGAACGGACGAGAAGCUUGCUUCUCUGAUGUUAGCGGCGGACGGGUGAGUAACACGUGGAUAACCUACCUAUAAGGCUGGGAUAACUUCGGGAAACCGGAGCUAAUACCGGAUAAUAUUUUGAACCGCAUGGUUCAAAAGUGAAAGACGGUCUUGCUGUCACUUAUAGAUGGAUCCGCGCUGCAUUAGCUAGUUGGUAAGGUAACGGCUUACCAAGGCAACGAUGCAUAGCCGACCUGAGAGGGUGAUCGGCCACACUGGAACUGAGACACGGUCCAGACUCCUACGGGAGGCAGCAGUAGGGAAUCUUCCGCAAUGGGCGAAAGCCUGACGGAGCAACGCCGCGUGAGUGAUGAAGGUCUUCGGAUCGUAAAACUCUGUUAUUAGGGAAGAACAUAUGUGUAAGUAACUGUGCACAUCUUGACGGUACCUAAUCAGAAAGCCACGGCUAACUACGUG
rnacentral:rRNA from 1 species